rnacentral:lncRNA from 1 species
GGACUGUGUCUGUGUUAAAAAGCGGUUCUGGGCCGAGGAACAUUACUGGAUGGAGAGGGAUGUGCUGUCUGUAAGCUAAGGAAAAAUGUUUCGUUCUUUCAAAUUCGGCUUCGCGACACUCCAGAAGGACGUGGAGCACGGUCAGCCUCUCCCCGCAUCUACCACAGGUUGGAGGCUCACUUCCGGAAUCUGUUGUCCACACAUUUGUAAGCAAGGAUCCGGAACUAGGCCUCUCUUCCUUGUAAACAGCACACAAGAACUUUUUUGAGGAUUGAUUUUAAAACCAUUUUUCUCUGCCCACCCUGACACCUUGUUCAAGCCAUGCUGUACCUGUCUCUCGCAUACCGCGAGGUUACAGGAUUUGAAGCCUAUUUGAAUGUCGUCCACAUAGACGGAAUACAAGAUGGCUGGUGGUAAGGACGCACGAAGCGUUGUCAUUUUAACAAUAAAAAGUGUGCAACUGA